rnacentral:rRNA from 1 species
UUUCCGGUUGAUCCUGCCGGACCUGACUGCUAUCGGAUUGGUACUAAGCCAUGCGAGUCAUUGUAGCAAUACAAGGCGGACGGCUCAGUAACACGUAGUCAACCUAACUCGUGGACGUGGAUAACCUCGGGAAACUGAGAAUAAACCACGAUAGAUCAUAAUGCCUGGAAUGGCUUAUGGUCCAAACAGUUUACUGCCAUGGGAUGGGACUGCGGCCUAUCAGCUUGUUGGUGAGGUAAUGGCCCACCAAGGCGAUUACAGGUACGGGCUCUGAGAGGAGAAGCCCGGAGAUGGGUACUGAGACACGGACCCAGGCCCUAUGGGGCGCAGCAGGCGAGAAACCUUAGCAAUGUGCGAAAGCACGACUGGGUCAGUCCGAGUGAUUCCUGAUAAAGGAGUCUUUUGCUUGUCCUAAAAGCACAGGUGAAUAAGGGGUGGGCAAGUCUGGUGUCAGCCGCCGCGGUAAUACCAGCACCUCGAGUGGUCAGGACGUUUAUUGGGCCUAAAGCAUCCGUAGCCGGCUUUGCAAGU